rnacentral:tRNA from 1 species
AGAAGCUUAGGAUAAUCUUUUAAACCAAGGACCUUCAAAGUCCUAAAUAGGAGUUAAAAACUCUUAGCUUCUGC